ensembl:snRNA U6 U6 spliceosomal RNA
GUGCUCGCUUCGGCAGAACAUAAACUAAAACUGGAACAAUACAGAGAAGAUUAGCAUGACCACUGCUCAAGGAUGACAUGUAAAUUCAUGAAGCAUUCCAUAAAAUU